UACGAAGGGGGCUAGCGUUGUUCGGAAUCACUGGGCGUAAAGCGCACGUAGGCGGAUCUUUAAGUCAGGAGUGAAAUCCCGAGGCUCAACCUCGGAACUGCCUUUGAUACUGGGGAUCUCGAGUCCGGGAGAGGUGAGUGGAACUGCGAGUGUAGAGGUGAAAUUCGUAGAUAUUCGCAAGAACACCAGUGGCGAAGGCGGCUCACUGGCCCGGAACUGACGCUGAGGUGCGAAAGCGUGGGGAGCAAACAGG
rnacentral:rRNA from 1 species